rnacentral:rRNA from 1 species
AACGAACGCUGGCGGCAGGCCUAACACAUGCAAGUCGAACGCAUCGCAAGAUGAGUGGCGCACGGGUGAGUAACACGUGGGAAUGUAUCCUUUGGUUCGGAAUAACGUCUGGAAACGGACGCUAAUACCGGAUGAGCCCUUAGGGGGAAAGAUUUAUCGCCGAAGGAGCAGCCCGCGUCUGAUUAGGUAGUUGGUGGGGUAAAGGCCUACCAAGCCGACGAUCAGUAGCUGGUCUGAGAGGAUGAUCAGCCACACUGGGACUGAGACACGGCCCAGACUCCUACGGGAGGCAGCAGUGGGGAAUAUUGGACAAUGGGCGCAAGCCCGAUCCAGCCAUGCCGCGUGAGUGAUGAAGGCCUUCGGGUUGUAAAGCUCUUUCGCACACGACGAUGAUGACGGUAGUGUGAGAAGAAGCCCCGGCUAACUUCGUGCCAGCAGCCGCAGUAACAC